UACGUAGGGUGCAAGCGUUAUUCGGAUUUAUUGGGUUUAAAGGGUGCGUAGGCGGCUUUUCAAGUCGAUGGUGAAAUCUUGGCGCUCAACACCAAAAUGGCCGUCGAUACUAAAGAGCUUGAGUUAAGAUUAGGUAGGCAGAAUUUAUGGUGUAGCGGUGAAAUGCGUAGAUAUCAUAAGGAAUUCCAAUAGCGUAGGCAGCUUGCUAGUCUUAUCUGACGCUGAGGCACGAAAGGCGGGUAGCAAACAGG
rnacentral:rRNA from 1 species